UGGGAAUGUGCCCUGAGGAACUUCAGCCUUCCUAAUAGAGGCUUCCUUAUGGUAAUUAUUAUCCUUCACAGGGGCAUCAUCACCGUCACCGUGUGUUUCCAGAGGGAGCCACUGGCCUUCUGCCACCAGUACACCUGCCACGGGGGCUAUAUGGGUGCCAAGGCCGUGCUGGAAAUCAUGCCCCCAGGCCCCAGAGCUGCACCCCUGAGACUCGCAGGAGACUGUACCCUGAUGAGAAGAACCGGCAGAGGUUAUCCAGGGAGUAGAUUUCAGAGCCUCCCUGAGAGGCAGAUCUUGGCAUCUGCAAUUUCUGGCAUCACAACCUUCCUAGAGAACAAAUCAGACAAAAACAAGACUCCUGUGGAUGGUUUCUGCCUCUCUGUCUCUCCAGGACCAUGGAAGACAGGAGUUUUGAUGCUCACUUUGGCUCAGAUCAGGAUGUGAGGAGGACUCUGCUGUACUCAAGAUCCUGCCUAAGUCAGUCUCCCUUUUCCAUAAACUCAAGUAAAACAGACCAGUAUGUUGGCCUCAGUUUGAAACUUGACUCUGACCUUGUAUGAAUCUCCCUAUUGCCCCUCGUUCUUUACUCCAGCCCAUCCAGCCUCAAUGCUCUCUUCACUACCAGCUGGUAGCACCCAAUUUUGUUUCGAAGAUACAUAUUUCCCUGUGUGUACUCUGACCAAUAAUUGAAUGCAGUUGGAAAAUGAAAUUCUUGAUACGGAAGGAGAGGUAAUCCUUAGCUUAACCCUCUCCCCAACUCUUGAGGGUGGCACUAGGAGACUGAGCCUGGUGGUCAGAGCUGCCCCACAUAGUUACCAAGAAGCUUUUUCCCCUCAGAGGGGAAAGGACAUUCCCAAGUCAUCUCUCAUUUUAGACAGUUUGGUGCAAUUUGGACAGCUUAGCCUGACUAGAAACCUGUUCACAAUUCAAGACCUCUCCCUCCCCUUCCUGUAUUGUCCCACAACAUGCCCCUCAUCCCCUUCAGUUCAGAGCUGGGGGGGAAGGGCCACAGGAUACCUAGGAAGAUGCUAAAGCAGAGAAGCCAGCGUGGCCAGCAGGCAUCAACUUGGGCUCUGUGUUCCUGUCUCAAGCUAAGUGAUGAGCAGAAUGGAGGGGGCUGUCUCCCAAGUGGCACCAGCUCAGGCUUCUCUCCCUCUAUCAGCCAUGUCCCAGCAGCCUAGAGUCACCACUAGUGUCGUCACCCACUUUAUGCACUGGCUUUAAACCCAUAUGAAAGAAAAAUAAAAAUCACAGGAAUAAAGCCCUCCCA
rnacentral:lncRNA from 1 species